UCUGGUAUUGCCAGUUCUUGUAAGGAUCUUUAACCCUUGGUUGCAUGGGUAUUUCAAGGUUGGCAAAGAACACCACUAAAGAAAAAUGAAAAAACACCCUUCAGUGUAAGACUGAAGUCUUUUUUUCCUACACAAUGUACAUCAAGUUUAUCGACACUGAUCAUUAAAAUUGGGGGAAAAAAAACUAGAUAAGAAACAACAGCACUUCAGGUAUAUGGGGUGGCACCCCUUGGUGCCUUCUAAUAUAAAUUUUUACUUACCAAAAACGAAAAAAAAAAAAAAA